CUGAAAGCAUCUAAGCACGAAACUUGCCCCGAGAUGAGUUCUCCCUGACCCUUUAAGGGUCCUGAAGGAACGUUGAAGACGACGACGUUGAUAGGCCGGGUGUGUAAGCGCAGCGAUGCGUUGAGCUAACCGGUACUAAUGAACCGUGAGGCUUAACCUU
rnacentral:rRNA from 1 species